UGGAGGCAGCAGUGGGGAAUAUUGGGCAAUGGGCGAAAGCCUGACCCAGCCACGCCGCAUGGAGGAAGAAGGCGCUCUGCGUUGUAAACUUCUUUUAUAUGGGAAGAAAAAACUCUUGCGAGAGGAAUUGCCGGUACCAUAUGAAUAAGCAUCGGCUAACUCCGUGCCAGCAGCCGCGGUAAUACGGAGGAUGCGAGCGUUGUCCGGAUUUAUUGGGUUUAAAGGGUGCGUAGGCGGCUUAAUAAGUCAUCGUUGAAAUCUAACCGCUUAACGGUUAUUAGGCGUUGAUACUGUUGAGCUUGAGUGAACUGGAGGCAGAUAGAACUGGUAGAGUAGCGGUGAAAUGCAUAGAUACUACCAAGAAUACCAAUUGCGAAGGCAGUCUGCUACGUUUCAACUGACGCUGAGGCACGAAAGUGUGGGUAUCCAACAGGAUUAGAUACCCGGGUAGUCCG
rnacentral:rRNA from 1 species